rnacentral:rRNA from 1 species
GAAUAUUGGACAAUGGGGGGAACCCUGAUCCAGCCAUCCCGCGUGUGUGAAGAAGGCCUUUUGUUUGUAAAGCACUUUAAGCGAGGAGGAGGCUACGCUAGUUAAUACCUAGGGAUAGCGCACUUUACUCGCAGAACAAGCACCAGCUAACUCUUGCCCGGCAGCCGCGGUAAUACAGAGGGUGCAAGCGUUUAUCGGAUUUACUGGGCGUAAAGCGCGCGUAGGUGGGCGAUUAAGUCAAAUGUGAAAUCCCCGAGCUUAACUUGGGAAUUGCAUUCGAUACUGGUUGGCUAGAGUAUGGGAGAGGAUGGUAGAAUUCAAGGUGUAGCGGUGAAAUGCGUAGAGAUCUGGAGGAAUACCGAUGGCGAAGGCAGCCAUCUGGCCUAAUACUGACACUGAGGUGCGAAAGCAUGGGGAGCAAAC